GCGCGCGCCGCCCCCCCCCCCCCUCCACACCGCGCGCCCGUCGGAAAUUUCGCCCGCCCACCCGCGCCGUGAGUCGGACACACGGUGGCCCGCGGAAAAAUCAGUAGCGCUCGAGUUUCCACGGCCGCGAGUCCUGUCGCCGCGCGCGCCGUCCCCGGUCUCGCCGCGCCGCGAAGUUUUCCGACCGAACCGGUUCGGAACCGGGGAAGUGCCGCUCCCUGAAAUUAACCGCUCUUUCACCAGGAACGGACGUCGAGUCCAAGUGAAACCGGUUUCUAUCGAUGUGAAUCGAGGAGUCGUUUGCCGGCAUAACCGGUGUCCGGGAAGGGAAAGUGCCGCUCCUGAAAUUAACCGCUCUUUCACCAGGAACGGACGUCGAGUCCGAGUGAAACCGGUUUCCAUCGGUGUGAAUCAGUGAGCCGGUUGCCGGCGCGUAAUCGGUAUGCAUUGUCGUGGUAGCGAUUUGUAGUUGUACCCUGGCAUCACGGAGAUGGUCGGUUUUGUGAUAAAUGAAUUCUCGAUGACCAUGAGUGCGAUAGUUCCGCGAUGAAUCUCGGAUGAAAUCUCGAUGAGUGUGACAACGACUUGGUUCCUGACCGUUUCCCGUUGAAUCUUCGAUGGAUCGUCGAUGACCUCGCUCUUUCGCCGAGUUCCUGAUGAGUGUUCUACAAGUUCCUGAUGAGUGUUGGACGAGUUCUCAGUGACUCAGGUUCCAGUAACUUCCCGUUGAAUGUUGGACGAGUUGCCGAUGGUUUCCAACUCGGGACGGGUGUGACGGGCGCCGUUUGAGGAGUGCGGAUCCUCGGAUGAGCGGAUGAGCCGAUGAACGGGAGCAUGGCGAUGAAGACACUGAAGGCGGGAGGGGGCGGGGGCGGGCGACAAGGGGCGGGGCCCGGGCCGGGGCGGCAUGGACAAGGGCGCUCCUCGAGCCGGAGUCGGAAGCGCGUCCAGUCGUCCUGCAGGACACCGGAAGCCUCGAGCGACUGUUGGGAGGUCAUCGUGCCCCCGAUCACCCCGCCGCCCGACUUCCUCGCCCACCCCAACACUGCCGCCUUCGCCUCUUUCUUCCCCGGCAACAGAUUUGAAGAAGGACAAGACUGAAAGCAUGCCGGCUGUGAACGGGAGCUGCAUAGUGAGCGAGCAGCCGCCGCCGCCGGCGCCGUCGCUGGACAUGCACAGCAUGCAGAACAUGAGCAUGGGCAGAAUGGAGAGCAUGAACAUGCAGAACAUGCAGCAGAUGUCGAUGACGAUGGCCGGGGCCGGGACGCCGCGCCCGGAGCGCCCCGAGCGCCCCUCCUCCCUGGGGGCGCCGUUCCGCCCUCGCAAGGGGGCCCCGGCGCCAGCCUCGCCCGCCGCCUCCGCUGCUACCACAACGACCAUUACUCCCCCACCUCCAAUCGCCCCCUCCAGCCGCCGAGUCUCCUUCAGACAGUGGUUGAUGGUGGGACUCCGAAUAGACAAGGCUGCUCAACUCCUCCCCCGCCUCCCGUUGCUCCCUCUUUAG
rnacentral:lncRNA from 1 species